UACGAAGGGGGGCUAGCGUUGCUCGGAAUCACUGGGCGUAAAGCGCACGUAGGCGGCUUCUUAAUUCAGGGGUGAAAUCCUGGAGCUCAACUCCAGAACUGCCUUUGAUACUGAGGAGCUUGAGUCCGGGAGAGGUGAGUGGAACUGCGAGUGUAGAGGUGAAAUUCGUAGAUAUUCGCAAGAACACCAGUGGCGAAGGCGGCUCACUGGCCCGAUACUGACGCUGAGGCACGAAAGCGUGGGGAGCAAACAGG
rnacentral:rRNA from 1 species